UCCCCGAUAGCUCAACGGUAGAGCGUGCGGCUGUUAACCGCCAGGUUCUAGGUUCGAAUCCUAGUCGGGGAGCCA
rnacentral:tRNA from 1 species